CCUGCCUCUUUAAUACAAAUAAGAUUAAUUGCACGGUUGUUCAGAAAAUGAACCACCAGUAGUUAAACAAAAAAUGUUUGUCUUUAAGCAGCCCUUGGAUGAUUUUUUUAAAAACUGUUACAGGAAGUGAAGAGGCUGCCAAAUUACCAUGCCCGUGAGCCUCACUCUCAUUAUCAGCCUAAACGAACGCACACACCCCGACACUUUCAUCCUUUUCCAGGCCCAAGAAAAAGGAGGCAUAAAAAAAAAAAAAAAAUGAAAAACACAACCACCCUUCCACACAAAGAGGUGUCUCUGAAGUCUGGAAUGCACCCUGGCUGUUUGAAGAGGAGAUUUAUACCUGACACCCUCCUUGAAGCUCAUUGUCGAGACUCGCCUGCGUUCAAAUCAACCGCAGACUGGCUGCUGCAGAAUUCCAGAAGAAAAAGCCAUACACGCUUACAAGAAACUACUUACUUGAUGUGACGUACCGACAAGUAUUUUGGCAUGACCAGAAAUUGGAGAGUACUUACAGUACAGUACUGUGAUGACUUUAGACUGACCAUGGGCGUCAGAAGUGUUCAGUUACCACUAUGAGCACAUCUAAAACUGCACCCUCGGGACCUGACACCCUGAUUAGCCAACAAAGUUACAGCAAGAAGUAUUUUUCACCUUCAGGCUUGGCGCCUCCUUUCCAGCAUAUAAAGCAUACACAACGAAGCAAGAACAAAUGCACUGUGCCAUGAUGGAACACAGGGCAAUAUGAACUGUGUGAAUUUCCACAGUCUUAUUUUUAUUUCUAUGGUCCAGAAUAGACUUUCAACCAUUGAGCUAAAGCUUAAGAAGAUGAGUACUUGCUUAUUUGGCACCACUCGUCUAUCUGAAGUUACACGUGUGCUUGUAAGCUCUGCCAUGUAAGUCAUGAUACAUAGAAAACAGCCAUGUAAAGCCUCUGCACAUGCAUCUUUACAUCCAUCACAGAGCUCUCAACCAGAAACCAGAAGUCAAAAUGUAUUUCUUGUGUCCUGUUGGACUCAUUCUUUCUGCUGAAAUAAUCAACUUUUGAGACUGUUGCCUCAUCUAGAACAUUUUACGAUGCUAGUAGAUGGGUGAAUGCAGGCAUCCUGCUCUUUAUGCCUUCAAAGCUAUCACGUAAAGAUAACAGUGUUUUCUUUUAAUCUUUUUUUCAUUACUGAAUAUUAUGCUUACAACAAUCCUGCUUUGCUACAGAUGGUUUCCUGUUGUUUCUGCCAAAUGUGAAAUAGCUAUAAAACUUGAAAAGGUUUUGAUGCUGUCACUGCAUGAAAAAUUGCAUCUACGAGGGAAAAUUAAAUAUGAGCCCUAGCCUUUAAUUGCUUUAAUCUUACUUGGUAAGUGAACUUUUUUACCCCCACCCCCAACUCAAAGCUUCCGAUAACAUGACCUGAAGGGAAAAAUAUAGCUAUGUAUUUUAGUCAGGUAGAAAGCCUUCAUUAACAAAAACAAAAAAGAGGAAGGGGAAGUAGAUAAUUCUCAUGUCCAGACCAACCAAACAGCCACCAACACCAGCUAACAAGAGCAAUGCCUUUGGCUCUGCGUCAUAAAAUAUGUAAAGUCAUUUCUGUUAGAAGACAGCAAAGUUCCUGUUUACAGUGCUAUAAUAAGGAGAUCUAUCAUCUUAGCAGACAAAUUACUAGAAAAUGGCUUACAUACUCCCAAGAGAACAGAGCCUUUGCUCCUUGCGUGGGCAAAUCUCAGUGAACUCGGUGACAGCUUUGCUUGAAUGCAAAAGGAGUAGUAAGAAGCACUUCAAAGAAAAAUUGAAUUUUAUAUAUUUCUUAUUCUAUAGGGAAAACUGUUAAUGCUCUUUAUAGGCAUAGAUUCAGUGUUGUAUGGGAAAAGGACUAGAGCAAAAUCUUUUAUCAGCAAAGGCGUAGGACAGGCACAUUGCUUGCACAAGUGGAACAUCACCAACAAAUGGGUGAGCUACAUGGCUGCUCUCAAAUAUCUGCCAAUAUUUGACUGGCACCCCAUCAACACUCUCAUAUUCGAGAAAAAAAAAAAAAAAAAAAAGCCAAAACCUGCAAGCAUUUAACCACAUCCUUCUACCAACAAGGCAAGGCUGUCUUCAUUGCCAUGGAUCUGUCUGUACAAGCACUGAGGGCAGAGGCAAAAAGAGUAAAUAAAAGAAACCGCUGUCAUUUUGAGUGCAUUUGUCUGUCUGUUGCUGUGCCUGAUAUCUUAGGGCUCUGCAGCACAAGAAACAAGUGCUCUGUAUUGGAGACUUGGCAGGCACCCAUUUCUGCAGGAAGAAAGCAUGCAACUGUAGUCUCACCUGACCAAGACAUCGGGCUUGAGCUUCACAGCUGCUCAGCCCUCUCCUGUUCCUUCCUGGGGAGGGAUCUGGUACCUGUUCACCACAAGAAUAGUUUCGCUCACGGUGGAAAGGGAAGCUGGGGGAACCGUCGUUUCUUUUAACCUGUGUUGACUUUCCCUGCUCUGCAGGCUGGAAUUGAAAAGCUGAGACAGAGGUGACACUGUGUGCAGGAGAGAGUGGAAAGUGUGUGCUGUCCUCAAGCUGCAGCAAACUGUCUCACCUCCACAUGGACAUGCCUCACCCACGUGCUUUAUCCCCAAGGGCACCUCUUCAAAGUGCCCCGGGCAUUUCCCCACACCGAGGUACUGGCACCAGAGUUAUCUGCCUGGCUGUUUAGUUUGACUUCCACUUACGCUCAAUUAAAAGCAACUUUAUACAAGCUCCAAGCAACCUGCACCCCACAGCUAUGGACAAACCCCUGUAGCUCAGCCCCACUGUGAUCACCGAGAGGACUGGUGAGCUGGGGGCUGCCAGGGUUCAGGAGCUGCCUGGACCUGCGUGGCCAACGUGCUGGACCUUCCCUGAGGGAUGGAGCCGUCUCUGAUGGCUGUUUCCUUGGGCCAAGAAAACAUUCGUGGGCAAGAGCCUGCUCUUUUUCUUUCGUAGUGUAGCCUGUGUACAUCUGGGCCUUUGAUGAUGGUUGGAUACGGGCACGUAGGUCCUAGUUGAAGGGCUACUGAUGUUGUUGGAGAGUCUCCUGUUGGCUUCACUGGAAAGAGGAUCAAGCCCCUGCGUGUUUGCUUAUUUCUUUAUUUAUCACCAAUUUUGCCAUUUGGUCACCAGCUGAAUUAUUUUCACCUUUCACAUUCAAUUAAAUACCACAAAAUGCUAGUGCAGGACUUUUCUCAAAACCAGCUAGAAACCAUGAUAGAAAACACAACCCUGCCACAUCAGAGACGUUCUUCAUAUACCGUACGGUAUUUGCAUCUAGGUUUCCUUGUUGCUAGCCAAUGCCAUCUGUUAUCUGUUUUGGUCUGCUUAUGAGAACUGGUAAUUUCUGAAAAUUGAGAGCAAGGCAAGAACAAUGGCUUUUUCCUUUGUAUUUUAUGUCCCAAAGAAAUGAACUGGAUCUACACAUGCACACAAAAAUAUACCCCUCCAAUUGGCAAUAUGCUAGCAUAUGCUUUUUCUGUAUGGAAAAUUUAAAGAGACAAGGCCCAUCAAGGGGAAAUAUUUGAGCGUAAUGAAAUAAAUGUGCGCCCCACAAUGCUUGGAUACUCAGUUCUGCUUUUGUCUCUCUUGGAGGGUGCUGACGCUCAGACUGGCUGAUGGAUUAAGCAGUGACAGCUGAGAUGGUUGCUGCCCUCAGCUGCGCGCUCUGCCCCCUCGCUUGGAAAUUACUGCCCUCCUGCCGCCGGCACAACUGAACGCUUCGUGAGCCCGAUUUCAGACUGCCAGACUUCACGUGAACCUCGGCUCACGCCAGUUCGCCAGCCCGUAAACUCCUGCGAAGCGCCGAGCCAUGCCGGCCACGCAAGUGAAAGACCAAGAAAAGGAAAAAGGGGUGCCUGGGCCAGCCAGCGGGCAGCAGCCCACGGCGCAUUCCCUCCUAUUUUUGGAAACACAAAUGUGCCGAGCUCAGGGGACCCAUUGUCACAUGCCACCCCCUAAGCAAAGAAAUGGCAAAAUGUCAAGUGACAAAGACGAGAACGCGUCCCCAGCCUUUUCUCGGGGUUUUUGGUUUUUCGGUUGGUUGGUUUUUUCGCUCUUUUGCAACUGCAUUUCAGGGACAGUAUUAAAAUGCGCUCAGCACUGACUAAACUCUCUUCCUCUGAGGUCUAUUGCAUAUUUUUGUUAACUCUAAGAAGAGAAACUUUACUUUAGCAUGAUAAUUUCAAAAUCCUGUUGGUUAUAGAUGGUAGGUUUCAGUCCCGGGUUUGAGGAUGCUGCCUGUUUCACAAUUCCUAACUGUAGCAGCCUAUAAACCAGCAUCAGAUAGUUUAACACAGUCUGACGUUUUUAGCCUUUCAUCUAGUCUGUUCCUCAUGUUUUUGCAGUCCCAGUUUUUGUCUUCCAAGAUGUGUGAUCUGGAUGCACAAGGUCUUUUUGUCUCUUUCUUUUCAGUGAUGGAAGCCAACUCCGUGAAACCUCAAUUUACCGGCUAUUAAUAUGCAGGCAUCCUUCCCUUACAGGUCCUUCUGUCAAGCAGUGGAGUGUGUAUACAGUUGUGAAAGAAAGAAGGAAUAUCUCGCAGAUAUGCAUUCUUGUCUGGAUAAUUCUAAAUAUUGAAUCCUGAACUAUUAAAACUGCUCUUGCUUAAGAUUAAAAGAAAAAUCCUGGUAGUCAAUCUGCAGAUAAUUGUAUGCUGCCUAACUGGCACUUCAGUAGUUUUUCUUUGUGAUAUAUCUGAAGGAGGAGAUGGAUGCACUGUCAGAAUUAAAAGCUCUUUCAGUACUUGGC